UUGCUCCCGGAUGUUAGCGGCGGACGGGUGAGUAACACGUGGGUAACCUGCCUGUAAGACUGGGAUAACUCCGGGAAACCGGAGCUAAUACCGGAUAGUUCCUUGAACCGCAUGGUUCAAGGAUGAAAGACGGUUUCGGCUGUCACUUACAGAUGGACCCGCGGCGCAUUAGCUAGUUGGUGAGGUAACGGCUCACCAAGGCGACGAUGCGUAGCCGACCUGAGAGGGUGAUCGGCCACACUGGGACUGAGACACGGCCCAGACUCCUACGGGAGGCAGCAGUAGGGAAUCUUCCGCAAUGGACGAAAGUCUGACGGAGCAACGCCGCGUGAGUGAUGAAGGUUUUCGGAUCGUAAAGCUCUGUUGUUAGGGAAGAACAAGUGCAAGAGUAACUGCUUGCACCUUGACGGUACCUAACCAGAAAGCCACGGCUAACUACGUGCCAGCAGCCGCGGUAAUACGUAGGUGGCAAGCGUUGUCCGGAAUUAUUGGGCGUAAAGGGCUCGCAGGCGGUUUCUUAAGUCUGAUGUGAAAGCCCCCGGCUCAACCGGGGAGGGUCAUUGGAAACUGGGAAACUUGAGUGCAGAAGAGGAGAGUGGAAUUCCACGUGUAGCGGUGAA
rnacentral:rRNA from 1 species